ACAACCCAGGAUGGGGGGCCAGCCCAUCGCAGGGCACACUCACACACCAUGCACUCUCACAUGCAUUCCUAUGGGCAAUUUAGCAAGUGCAGUUAGCCUCAGCAUGUUUUUGGACUAUGGGGGGAAACCGGAGUACCCGGAGGAAACCCCACGGCGACAUGGGGAGAACAUGCAUGGCUCUCAGCGGAGGCGGUCGCACUUCUCUCCCUCUCCCUCCCCUUAUCUUCCCUGCUUCGCUCCUCUCGUCUCGUCUAGUCUACUGUCUUAUACUUGAGAGACUCUCUCAGCCCUGCUCUCCAAACUACGUAAAACGAUGGAUUUGAUCAGCUGGUCUCUCAACGCAAUUGACACCAUCUUCUCGAUGAGAAGCCUAGGUUCGGGGGAACCUGUCUGGCAGGAACGUAUGCUGCUGGCUACACGAUGGACGGAUGGGAGCGGUGGAGGGUCGUGUGCCUGGCAGCUCUUUCCGUGGAGGACAUUGAAGACAUCUACCUAUUCGGAACCAUGAUUACAGGCCUGGGGGCUGAAGCUAAUUCAGUGGUAAAGACAUGAGCUCGUCUCUUGGAGGUCGACGUGAGGAGGUCUGCACUGGAAAAGACCACACUGAGACCAAACAGCUGUCUCCCUUCCUCCAUCUCUGAGCUACAGGAUGGUAUGUGUCACCUAACCUCUGCACACUGCACGCAGUGAUUUGCAGUGAUUUGCAUAUGCCAUAGGAUGCUUGGCCCUUUGCCUCCUUCCUGAUCCAAACUUCUAGGGUCUCCAUGGGUAACCAGCAUCCUGAUGCCAUGAAGAGGGUGUUGAGGAAGAGGAGAAGCUUCAUGGUGUAGUAAUACCAGCCACAUUUAAAUCAACAUGUAGGAAAAAAAAUCACCUGAGCUGCAAAACACAUAGCAAUCCAGUGGGGGCGCUGUUUGGCUCAUUGAGUUUGGAUGCUAUGUCUAUGAUGGGAAGGUCACCUGUUCAAUGUCACUACUGGGCCCCUCCGUAAGGCCCUUAACCCCCCGUUACUCCAGGCACUGUUUGGCCCUGCUUUCUCAAAAAUGUCGCUUUUUAUGAAAUUGUCUGUUAAAUCUAACAUUCAUUUAAUUGAUAGAAAUGUGCAUCACUGGUGAAAGGUAAGCAAGUACUUAACAGUGAUAAAUUCAGUGUCUUACUUUUAACAGGGUUCUAAAUACAUAUAUAAAGCAAGCUGUGAUUGGAAAGCAGUUCAUACCCAAAAUGGUACAAUGGCCAAAAAAAUCCAUCCGUCUGUGUCUGCACUCGU